GCCAGACUCCUACGGGAGGCAGCAGUGGGGGAUAUUGCACAAUGGGGGGAACCCUGAUGCAGCGACGCCGCGUGGGUGAAGGAGCGUUUCGGCGCGUAAAGCCCUAUCGGCAGGGAAGAAGGAGGACGGUACCUGACUAAGGAGCCCCGGCUAACUACGUGCCAGCAGCCGCGGUAAUACGUAGGGGGCAAGCGUUAUCCGGAUUUACUGGGUGUAAAGGGGGCGCAGACGGCAGCGCAAGCCAGGAGUGAAAGCCCGGGGCCCAACCCCGGGACUGCUCUUGGAACUGCGCGGCUGGAGUGCAGGAGGGGCAGGCGGAAUUCCUGGUGUAGCGGUGAAAUGCGUAGAUAUCAGGAGGAACACCGGUGGCGAAGGCGGCCUGCUGGACUGCAACUGACGUUGAGGCCCGAAAGCGUGGGGAGCAAACAGGAUUAGAUACCCCUGUAUC
rnacentral:rRNA from 1 species